GACGAACGCUGGCGGCGUGCCUAAUACAUGCAAGUCGAGCGGACAGAUGGGAGCUUGCUCCCUGAAGUCAGCGGCGGACGGGUGAGUAACACGUGGGCAACCUGCCUGUAAGACUGGGAUAACUUCGGGAAACCGGAGCUAAUACCGGAUACGUUCUUUUCUCGCAUGAGAAUAGAUGGAAAGAUGGUUUCGGCUAUCACUUACAGAUGGGCCCGCGGCGCAUUAGCUAGUUGGUGAGGUAAUGGCUCACCAAGGCGACGAUGCGUAGCCGACCUGAGAGGGUGAUCGGCCACACUGGGACUGAGACACGGCCCAGACUCCUACGGGAGGCAGCAGUAGGGAAUCUUCCGCAAUGGACGAAAGUCUGACGGAGCAACGCCGCGUGAACGAUGAAGGCCUUCGGGUCGUAAAGUUCUGUUGUUAGGGAAGAACAAGUACCAGAGUAACUGCUGGUACCUUGACGGUACCUAACCAGAAAGCCACGGCUAACUACGUGCCAGCCGCCGCUGUAACAC
rnacentral:rRNA from 1 species